UUAAGGUUUAUCAUUUGUGAUUCAUAUAACAAAUUCAAAGAUGCAAAGCAACCCAUUUGAUGUGUGAAUUUCAAAACUUAAGCAUACCCACAUGAAAUUAGGCUCAUUGAGACAAACCAUCGAACAAUUGGUGCUCAACAAACACUGAAAAUAGAAGGUUCUCAAAAAUUACCUGGUAAUGGCGUACUUGAUAGCACAAUCGAAACAUUCACCUGAAAACCAUUGCUGCUAUCGGAAUUUAUCAACAUAGUAAUCAGCCACAACUAAGAAAGGAGCAACAACCCAUGGGUGAAGUGUUACAAUCAGUGAUGGUUGAUUGUGGUGUCUGAAGGUGAUUUUCGGAUGGGAAGGAAUUAGAACAAUGCAUUUGAAGAACCACGUUAAUAGUGAGGAUGAAUGUCGUUAAGCUUUCGUGGUGUUGAAAGAUUCGUUGUCUAGGGUUUUCUUCAUCUCCUGGAUUUAUGCUACCCUAGCCUUACCGGAAAUGUUGAACCCACUGAUUCAGGCGAUACACUAUGGGAGCCGGAGAUUUGGAAGAGAAAGAGAGAGAAUAUGUUUCAUGAGCUUUGGAAGAAUAAUCGGUCUGUAUU
rnacentral:lncRNA from 1 species